UACGAAGGGGGCUAGCGUUGCUCGGAAUCACUGGGCGUAAAGGGCGCGUAGGCGGCGUUUUAAGUCGGGGGUGAAAGCCUGUGGCUCAACCACAGAAUGGCCUUCGAUACUGGGACGCUUGAGUAUGGUAGAGGUUGGUGGAACUGCGAGUGUAGAGGUGAAAUUCGUAGAUAUUCGCAAGAACACCGGUGGCGAAGGCGGCAACUCGCGAUC
rnacentral:rRNA from 1 species